GAUGAACGCUGGCGGCGUGCCUAAUACAUGCAAGUCGAGCGAACGGACGAGAAGCUUGCUUCUCUGAUGUUAGCGGCGGACGGGUGAGUAACACGUGGAUAACCUACCUAUAAGACUGGGAUAACUUCGGGAAACCGGAGCUAAUACCGGAUAAUAUUUUGAACCGCAUGGUUCAAAAGUGAAAGACGGUCUUGCUGUCACUUAUAGAUGGAUCCGCGCUGCAUUAGCUAGUUGGUAAUGUAACGGCUUACCAAGGCAACGAUGCAUAGCCGACCUGAGAGGGUGAUCGGCCACACUGGAACUGAGACACGGUCCAGACCCCUACGGGAGGCAGCAGUAGGGAAUCUUCCGCAAUGGGCGAAAGCCUGACGGAGCAACGCCGCGUGAGUGAUGAAGGUCUUCGGAUCGUAAAACUCUGUUAUUAGGGAAGAACAUAUGUGUAAGUAACUGUGCACAUCUUGACGGUACCUAAUCAGAAAGCCACGGCUAACUACGUG
rnacentral:rRNA from 1 species